GCCACGGCCAAGUGCUGACGGCCCCCACCAAUCCCGCUCCUCCGUCCGUUGUCGUGCCGGCGGCGACCUCCUUGGCGAAACCACCUCCCUUAACCUUUCUACCCGCUUCCACUUCUGUUCCAGGCUUCCAGCUCAGACCACUGCAUCAGGUUAGCCAGGUCUGCAUCCCAUUCAGAGCAUAGACCCCCCGAAUCGGCACCUCGCCGCCACGGAACGGAACACCUCCGCAACGUUUCCGAAAUGCGCUGUGUUAGCAUGUCCCGGCGAUGGUGGCCCAGCCCAACCCAACCCCUCUCGCUGUGCUCCGGCUAGCUAUAGCUCCCCUCCCAAGCGACGGCGAGAAGCGAUUGGCCGAGGCUCGGGUUCCCGCGGGGUCGACGGCGGCCGGAGCGAGGGCGCGAUGCCGCGGCACGGGCGCGUGGAGCUGCGGCGGAUCGAGGACCCCGUCAGCCGGCAGGUGCCCUUCUCCAAGCGCCGCGCGGGGCUCUUCAAGAUGGCCUUCGAGCUCGAUCUCGUUGCUCUGCGACGCCGAGAUCGCGCUCAUCGUCUUCUCCCCCGCCGGCAUGCUCUAUGAAUACGCCUCCACCAGGUUCGUUCCAAUUAAUACGUCUUGCUUGCUUGUUCAUCCAAUUAGUGGACUCGGACAUUGGUCCGUUCCGUUCGGCGGCGGGUGGUGGUUUUGAAAGAGUUUAUUUCACAAUGAGCUAAUGCCCUACUGCCAUUUUUUCACCCAAUGUAUGCGGUCACCGUCGAUUUGGAUGCGGGAGCUCCUGUCCGCAGCCGUGUUGAGCCAGGCAGCGGCGACGUGCGGAACCAGGUCACCAGCGGCUGGGCGGCGGCGCAACAUCCACCUGCGGCCGGGAUGCCGACGCCGGGGAAGACGCCAUGCGCAGCAGCGGCGCUACUCUGUUCUUCACGAGGGAGGCGAACAGGGAGCUUGCGCCCAGGCCGGGAUCGAUGGAGAUCGAUGCGUUCAAUUCUAUAGAUAAGGUGCUGUCGCACAUCGUUACUUCUCAGGAAUCAAAGCAACAGCCCGCAAAACCAGAUACAUUGCAUUGGGGGCUAUCAGUCUAGUUUGCAUUUGGGCACUCAAAUUCGAGCAGAAAUGGUGGAUGACAAGGCCUUCCUCAAGCAGAUUGAAGCCUAUUAUGAUGUUUACAUGUCACCCAUCGACUGUUAAUAUGGCCACAGCCCACAAGCAGUGCUCUGGCUACUUCAUGUGACACUGCUUUUGCCUUUGCAGGGACUUUUGAAAGAACGACAGCAAAGGUACUUUCAAAGCCACUAUUGAUGGGUGACUGGUUGAUUUGUAAUGGUUUCAAUAAUUCUUUUCUUUUGGGGUAAGGGGUUCAAUACCCAUUUUGAAACUAGAGGUAACAGUCUGAAGCCUGGACUUCCAUGAAAGUAAAAUGUUGUGAGUUA